UGAAAGUUCCUCUCCACUUCCUUUUAGCCUGAAACAAAAGCCAUCCCCCCAAAAAAAUUAAUUUCCUUUUUGAACCCUAAAUAUCCCUUUUUUUUCCCCUUAAACCUCAAUUGAACCGCUCAAUCUCACCAUGAACGGUACGAAAAGAUUUGCCUUAUCGAGCUCGGCUGCCGAUGCCAAUGAUUCUGCUUUCCGCAACAAAAGAAUAAUGGCAGGAUCUCCUUUUGAUCCUCAAAGGGCAGAACCAUCUCAACAGCAGCCGAAUGCAACACCACCAUUAGACCCACAGCGAGCUGAGUUGUCUCGGCGGCAUGUGAAAGCUCUCAACAUCCAAUUUGCAAGUUGGGUGCAGUCACAACUGAAGAAUCACCCUGAUGAGCUUUGGCAAGAUGGUGUUAGUGAUUACCUAAGUCAUGCUUCAAACAUUAUGGACAAGUUCAGUGAUGUUGUCAAUUGGCUCAAAGCGAAUGCGGCUAAUGGUGAUAGUUUGUCUGCUGCUGAAUCCCAUAAAAAUGAAAGCAAAAUGGUUCCUGAAACCAAGAAUACUGAGAAUAAGUUUUUUCAAGGGAAAAUUGGAUUCACUCCAACCAGCACAACUACAAGCCUUAUUCCAGGCUCUACAACUCUGAGUUUUUCUCCAGGCACCACAGCUGGGAUGUUUUCUCUAAACACUACAACUACACGCUCGACUCCAGCUGAUAUGACUAAAAAAUUUCCUCCAUUGGGUACAACUACUAGCUUUACCUCAGCUAGUUCAACUACAAGCUUCACUCCAGUUGGUCUGACAACAAGCUCAAUCGCAGCUGGUUCAAACUCAAGCUUUUCGUUUGGCCUUUCAACCGCAAAUUUUACUUCCUCCAGUGCAACAAAUAGCUUUUCUUCAUCUAACAUGACCUCAAGCUUUGCAUCUCCUUGGAGCACUGGAGCAUUCUCUAAUAGUCAGAGCCCUUUCUUGUUUGGAACUCAGAGCUCAGUUUCAGUGGACAACAAUGCAGCAGAUGAUGCAGAUGAUGAAAAUGAGUUGCCACAGCCAAGCAGUCCAUCAGUGAAGAAGUCGGAAGAGAAGGGUAUUGUUGUUGUUCAUGAAGUCAAAUGCAAGCUUUAUGUCAAGUCAACUGAUCCAGCAGAUAAAGAUUCAUGGAAAGAUAAAGGCACUGGGCAACUUUCCAUUAAAUGCAAAGAGGGUAUCAGCAAGGGUUCGAAAGAUUCCAAACCAACAAUCGUUGUUCGAAAUGAGGUGGGGAAGGUGUUGCUAAAUGCAUUGCUAUAUCCUGGGAUCAAAACAAGUGCACAAAAGAAUUCCCUUGUUGCAAUAUUUCAUACCUCGGAUGAAGGUGGCGAUAACCAAGAGAUAGUGGCACGUACCUUCUUAAUUAGAACAAAAACAGAGGAUGACCGAAACAAACUGGUAACAGCAAUCCAAGAGUAUGCACCAGCCUCGUAACUAAAACGUAACGUGGAACUCGUCCUACUUGUUAUCAAAGGGUUCCCUUGCUCAAAGGAAUUGUUUCACUUGACAUUGUAUGAUCAUCAUACCCAGGUUCCAUCUUUCAACACUUGUCUCAUGUACAGGAGGUCAACCAUGAUUUAACUUGUUCCCUUUAGAUGUGCAUGGAGGGAGGCAUACAUCAAGUCAUUUGGUUUGUUGAAUUUAACUUCAUAGGUUAAGGCGGUUAAAGCCUAUAACUGCCAAACGGCGGCAACCUUCGUAACUUGGUCAAGAAUCUUGGCCGAGAUUCACGGUGUGUCAUUAAAUACCGUUUCGGUAUCAAAUAAUUUAUGCUUUGUAAAUAAUUUUGAUAUUUUGAACAAUUUUUAAUUAUUAUAUAAAUAUAUUUUUAUGUGUA